rfam:Tupaia chinensis contig15368, whole genome shotgun sequence.
GUGCCCGUGUGGGCAGCACUUACACUAACAUUGGACCGAUACAGAGGAGAUUAGCAUGGCCCUGCGCAAGCGUGGCACGCACAUUCGUUAAGCAUUCCAUAUUUUA